CAUUGCAGCCAUAUAACCCUGCAGCCCAAGACUGGUUGCCUACUGAAGCUAAGCAGGGUUGAGCCUGGUCAGUACCUGGAUGGGAGACCUCCUGGGAAAACUAGGUUGCUGCUGGAA
rnacentral:rRNA from 1 species